rnacentral:rRNA from 1 species
GUGAGGAAUAUUGGUCAAUGGACGAGAGUCUGAACCAGCCAAGUCGCGUGAAGGAAGACGGUUCUAUGAAUUGUAAACUUCUUUCGUGCAGGAAUAAAGUGGGUUACGUGUAACCUUUUGUAUGUACUGUACGAAUAAGGAUCGGCUAACUCCGUGCCAGCAGCCGCGGUAAUACGGAGGAUCCGAGCGUUAUCCGGAUUUAUUGGGUGUAAAGGGUGCGUAGGUGGAUUGAUAAGUCAGCGGUGAAAGUUUGCAGCUUAACUGUAAAAUUGCCGUUGAAACUGUCGGUCUUGAGUGCAAAUGAGGUAGGCGGGAUGUGUUGUGUAGCGGUGAAAUGCUUAGAUAUAACACAGAACUCCGAUUGCGAAGGCAGCUUACUGGGAUGCAACUGACACUGAUGCACGAAAGCGUGGGUAUCAAACAGGAUUAGAUACCCUUGUAGUCC